rnacentral:tRNA from 1 species
GAGGGUAUAGCUCAGUGGUAGAGUGCCUGCUUAGCAUGCUCGAGGUCCUGGGUUCAAUCCCCAAUACUUCCA